UUAUUUAAGGCCUAGGUAUGAGGCAUUUCACUGUUAAUGGAAAGAGGGCUAAAGCCUAAAUAUU
rnacentral:tRNA from 1 species